GGGUAUAGCUCAGUGGUAGAGCACAUGCCUAGCAUGCAUGAGGUCCCAGGUUCAAUCCUUGGUACCUCCA
rnacentral:tRNA from 1 species